GCCGGGCGCGGUGGCGGGCGCCUGUAGUCCCAGCUACUCGGGAGGCUGAGGCAGGAGAAUGGCGUGAACCCGGGAGAUGGAGCUUGCAGUGAGCUGAGAUCCGGCCACUGCACUCCAGCCUGGGCGACAGAGCCAGACUCUGUCUCAA
rnacentral:sRNA from 1 species